rnacentral:lncRNA from 1 species
GCUAAAUAAGCCAACCAGUAAAACUACCAGUUUUGCAGGUGGAGCAGGAAAGGAAAGACAUAGUUCAUAACUCUGCCUCUAUGACACCAACAAGCAGAGCUUCGUCUUCCAGAAGGCAUCUUGGUGCAGUCAACAAGUACCAGCUGUGUCACCGCGGUCUCUGCAUGAGCAAACAAUUACAGGACAGAGCCACACCUGGAUUUGUGCCUGCAAGUGAGGCUGCUCAGACAGACCACAUGACUGAUCCAACAAAGAUGGCUUCACACCACAAAU